GUUCUUGCUUCGGCAGAACAUAUAUUAAAAUUGGAACGAUACAGAGAAAAUUAGCAUGACCUC
rnacentral:snRNA from 1 species